rfam:Pan troglodytes isolate Yerkes chimp pedigree #C0471 (Clint) chromosome 16, whole genome shotgun sequence.
UUUUAAGCUUAAGUAUAUCUCAUGCAAUACUUGGGAUAUACUUAUGCUAAAA